rfam:Firmicutes bacterium CAG:41 genomic scaffold, scf269
GGGGGUGCAAUGGUUUCGACGGGGAUGUUGAAUCCCGAGUAGCGAGUAGUGUUGAGUGCCACUUAAAACGGCUCAAACUUUUAAAUAUAAACGCUAACGAUACAGAAUUAGCUUACGCUGCCUAAUUGCGGCGUUGUCUCCCCUGUGAGUAUCACGGCAUAGGGCAAGGCAUCAUUUUAGUGGUGAACGUGAGUAAAGGGAUGUCCUGACCUUUUCCAUGAUUUAAGGACUACCGAUGAUAUAACUUUGGUUGUGGAGUAGUAUCAAAGGGAAUCUUGACCAUAACCUGCACUCGGAGAAACUUGGGUGGAUAUGUUUUCGGACAGGAGUUCGAUUCUCCUCACCUCCACCA